rnacentral:rRNA from 1 species
UACGAAGGGGGCUAGCGUUGUUCGGAAUUACUGGGCGUAAAGCGCGCGCAGGCGGUUUUCCCAGUCAGUGGUGAAAGCCCGGAGCUCAACUCCGGAAAUGCCAUUGAAACUGUAAAACUUGAGGACGAGAGAGGUGAGUGGAAUCCCCAGUGUAGAGGUGAAAUGCGUAGAUAUUGGGAAGAACACCAGUGGCGAAGGCGGCUGACUGGCUCGUUUCUGACGCUCAGGCGCGAUAGCGUGGGGAUCAAACAGG